rnacentral:rRNA from 1 species
UACGGAGGAUGCGAGCGUUAUCCGGAUUUAUUGGGUUUAAAGGGUGCGUAGGUGGGCUAUUAAGUCAGUGGUGAAAGUUUGUCGCUCAACGAUAAAAUUGCCGUUGAAACUGGUGGUCUUGAGUAUGGAUGAAGUAGGCGGAAUGCGUGGUGUAGCGGUGAAAUGCAUAGAGAUCACGCAGAACUCCGAUUGCGAAGGCAGCUUACUAAGGCAUAACUGACACUGAAGCACGAAAGCGUGGGUAUCAAACAGG